UACGUAGGUGGCGAGCGUUGUCCGGAAUUACUGGGUGUAAAGCGCGUGUAGGCGGCAGGCCAAGUCGGUGGUGAAAGCGCCCGGCUCAACUGGGCGAGGUCCAUGGAAACUGGUCAGCUGGAGGACGGUAGAGGCGAGUGGAAUUCCCGGUGUAGUGGUGAAAUGCGUAGAGAUCGGGAGGAACACCUGUGGCGAAGGCGGCUCGCUGGGCCGGUACUGACGCUGAAACGCGAAGGCGUGGGGAGCGAACGGG
rnacentral:rRNA from 1 species